GGCUCAAUGGUCUAGUCGUAUGAUUCUCGCUUCGGGUCCACCUGAAUCCAAUCAUUCCAAAUGAUUAUGCGAGAGGUCCCGGGUUCAAAUCCCGGUUGAGCCC